rnacentral:rRNA from 1 species
UACGUAGGGUGCAAGCGUUUGUCCGGAAUUAUUGGGCGUAAAGAGCUCGUAGGCGGUCUGUUGCGUCCGCUGUGAAAACUCGGGGCUUAACCCCGAGCCUGCAGUGGAUACGGGCAGACUAGAGGUAGGUAGGGGAGAAUGGAAUUCCCGGUGUAGCGGUGAAAUUCGUAGAUAUCGGGAGGAACACCGGUGGCGAAGGCGGCGACCUGGGACAAUACUGACGCUGAGGUGCGAAAGCGUGGGGAGCAAACAGG